GGCCCUUUAGCUCAGCUGGAUAGAGCACUUGCCUUCUAAGCAAGUUGUCGGCAGUUCGAUUCUGUCAAGGGUCG
rnacentral:tRNA from 1 species